CGGGGGGGCGGGCCCUUCCCAUGCAGUCGCACGGCAGCACGGGGGCAACCCUGGUGGCGAGUGGCGAACGGGUGCAGUAACAUAUCGGAACGUGCCCUGGAGUGGGGGAUAACUAGUCGAAAGAUUAGCUAAUACCGCAUACGAUCUACGGAUGAAAGUGGGGGAUCGCAAGACCUCAUGCUCGUGGAGCGGCCGAUAUCUGAUUAGCUAGUUGGUGGGGUAAAGGCCUACCAAGGCAUCGAUCAGUAGCUGGUCUGAGAGGACGACCAGCCACACUGGGACUGAGACACGGCCCAGACUCCUACGGGAGGCAGCAGUGGGGAAUUUUGGACAAUGGGCGCAAGCCUGAUCCAGCAAUGCCGCGUGAGUGAAGAAGGCCUUCGGGUUGUAAAGCUCUUUUGUCAGGGAAGAAACGGUGAGGGCUAAUAUCCUUUGCUAAUGACGGUACCUGAAGAAUAAGCACCGGCUAACUACGUGCCAGCAGCCGCGGUAAUACGUAGGGUGCAAGCGUUAAUCGGAAUUACUGGGCGUAAAGCGUGCGCAGGCGGUUGUGCAAGACCGAUGUGAAAUCCCCGGGCUUAACCUGGGAAUGGCAUUGGUGACUGCACGGCUAGAGUGUGUCAGAGGGGGGUAGAAUUCCACGUGUAGCAGUGAAAUGCGUAGAGAUGUGGAGGAAUACCGAUGGCGAAGGCAGCCCCCUGGGAUAACACUGACGCUCAUGCACGAAAGCGUGGGGAGCAAACAGGAUUAGAUACCCUGGUAGUCCACGCCCUAAACGAUGUCAACUAGUUGUCGGGUCUUAAUUGACUUGGUAACGCAGCUAACGCGUGAAGUUGACCGCCUGGGGAGUACGGUCGCAAGAUUAAAACUCAAAGGAAUUGACGGGGACCCGCACAAGCGGUGGAUGAUGUGGAUUAAUUCGAUGCAACGCGAAAAACCUUACCUACCCUUGACAUGGCAGGAAUCCCUGAGAGAUUAGGGAGUGCUCGAAAGAGAACCUGCACACAGGUGCUGCAUGGCUGUCGUCAGCUCGUGUCGUGAGAUGUUGGGUUAAGUCCCGCAACGAGCGCAACCCUUGUCAUUAGUUGCUACGAAAGGGCACUCUAAUGAGACUGCCGGUGACAAACCGGAGGAAGGUGGGGAUGACGUCAAGUCCUCAUGGCCCUUAUGGGUAGGGCUUCACACGUCAUACAAUGGUACAUACAGAGGGCCGCCAACCCGCGAGGGGGAGCUAAUCCCAGAAAGUGUAUCGUAGUCCGGAUUGCAGUCUGCAACUCGACUGCAUGAAGUUGGAUUCGCUAGUAAUCGCGGAUCAGCAUGUCGCGGUGAAUACGUUCCCGGGUCUUGUACACACCGCCCGUCACACCAUGGGAGCGGGUUUUACCAGAAGUAGGUAGCUUAACCGCAAGGAGGCGCUAUCACCGGAAGGUUUUGCGG
rnacentral:rRNA from 1 species